CUUGUGCAGCAGAGCUACUACGACGAUUCCAGCACGCACCCAAAGCCGAUGGAUCUCUUAGCUUUUUGGUUCUUGGAGAUUGGGGAAGAAGAGGAGCCUUCAAUCAAUCUCAAGUUGCUCUUCAGAUGGGAAUAAUUG